rnacentral:rRNA from 1 species
AGAGUUUGAUCCUGGCUCAGGAUGAACGCUAGCGGCAGGCCUAACACAUGCAAGUCGAGGGGCAUCGGGAUUGAAGCUUGCUUCAAUUGCCGGCGACCGGCGCACGGGUGCGUAACGCGUAUGUAACCUACCUAUAACAGGGGCAUAACACUGAGAAAUUGGUACUAAUUCCCCAUAAUAUUCGGAGAGGCAUCUCUCCGGGUUGAAAACUCCGGUGGUUAUAGAUGGACAUGCGUUGUAUUAGCUAGUUGGUGAGGUAACGGCUCACCAAGGCAACGAUACAUAGGGGGACUGAGAGGUUAACCCCCCACACUGGUACUGAGACACGGACCAGACUCCUACGGGAGGCAGCAGUGAGGAAUAUUGGUCAAUGGACGCAAGUCUGAACCAGCCAUGCCGCGUGCAGGAAGACGGCUCUAUGAGUUGUAAACUGCUUUUGUACGAGGGUAAACUCACCUACGUGUAGGUGACUGAAAGUAUCGUACGAAUAAGGAUCGGCUAACUCCGUGCCAGCAGCCGCGGUAAUACGGAGGAUCCAAGCGUUAUCCGGAUUUAUUGGGUUUAAAGGGUGCGUAGGCGGUUUAGUAAGUCAGCGGUGAAAUUUUGGUGCUUAACACCAAACGUGCCGUUGAUACUGCUGGGCUAGAGAGUAGUUGCGGUAGGCGGAAUGUAUGGUGUAGCGGUGAAAUGCUUAGAGAUCAUACAGAACACCGAUUGCGAAGGCAGCUUACCAAACUAUAUCUGACGUUGAGGCACGAAAGCGUGGGGAGCAAACAGGAUUAGAUACCCUGGUAGUCCACGCAGUAAACGAUGAUAACUCGUUGUCGGCGAUACACAGUCGGUGACUAAGCGAAAGCGAUAAGUUAUCCACCUGGGGAGUACGUUCGCAAGAAUGAAACUCAAAGGAAUUGACGGGGGCCCGCACAAGCGGAGGAACAUGUGGUUUAAUUCGAUGAUACGCGAGGAACCUUACCCGGGCUUGAAUUGCAACUGAAUGAUGUGGAGACAUGUCAGCCGCAAGGCAGUUGUGAAGGUGCUGCAUGGUUGUCGUCAGCUCGUGCCGUGAGGUGUCGGCUUAAGUGCCAUAACGAGCGCAACCCUUAUCGAUAGUUACCAUCAGGUGAUGCUGGGGACUCUGUCGAGACUGCCGUCGUAAGAUGUGAGGAAGGUGGGGAUGACGUCAAAUCAGCACGGCCCUUACGUCCGGGGCUACACACGUGUUACAAUGGGGGGUACAGAAGGCAGCUACACGGCGACGUGGUGCUAAUCCCGAAAGCCUCUCUCAGUUCGGAUUGGAGUCUGCAACCCGACUCCAUGAAGCUGGAUUCGCUAGUAAUCGCGCAUCAGCCAUGGCGCGGUGAAUACGUUCCCGGGCCUUGUACACACCGCCCGUCAAGCCAUGGGAGCCGGGGGUACCUGAAGUGCGUAACCGCGAGGAUCGCCCUAGGGUAAAACUGGUGACUGGGGCUAAGUCGUAACAAGGUAGCCGUACCGGAAGGUGCGGCUG